rnacentral:rRNA from 1 species
CCUACGGGGGGCAGCAGUGGGGAAUCUUGCGCAAUGGCCGAAAGGCUGACGCAGCGACGCCGCGUGUGGGAGGACGCCCUUCGGGGUGUAAACCACUGUCGCCCGGGACGAACAUCUUUAGUCGUAAAGACUGACGGUACCGGGCGAGGAAGCGCCGGCUAACUCCGUGCCAGCAGCCGCGGUAAUACGGAGGGCGCGAGCGUUGUCCGGAAUCACUGGGCGUAAAGGGCGCGUAGGCGGCCAGGCAAGGUCGCGGUGAAAGCCCGGGGCUCAACCCCGGGUCGGCCGUGGCGACUACCUGGCUUGGGCGCGGUAGGGGCAGACGGAAUUCCGGGUGUAGCGGUGGAAUGCGUAGAGAUCCGGAAGAACACCGGUGGCGAAGGCGGUCUGCUGGGCCGUAGCUGACGCUGAGGCGCGACAGCGUGGGGAGCAAACAGGAU